GAGUGGAGCAAAAAGAUAACAGCUGGAGAUUUUUGUUGCAAUUAGUUCUGAUUUUGCAGUAACUAACAACCUAUAAUAUUCUUGUUUUUGUGUUGGUCAAAGAUUCUGGUUUAUAUAUAUUAGUAUACUGGAACCCAAAUAAUUACCUUUGAUUCUAAUAUGUUAACAAAUAUAAAAAUAUGUCAAAACGGCUUCACAUACGUUCACAUAGCCCAAAACAUGUUUUUGUACUUAAAUUAACUCAUAAAAUUUAAACUGACUAAAUUAGAUUUCAUUUAAAAGGGUAAAUGAUAAUUAUUAAACUUUCUUAUAAAUAUAUGAUAUA
rnacentral:lncRNA from 1 species